rnacentral:rRNA from 1 species
GAUGAACGCUGGCGGCGUGCUUAACACAUGCAAGUCGAACGAAGCACUUUAUUUGAUUUCCUUCGGGACUGAUUAUUUUGUGACUGAGUGGCGGACGGGUGAGUAACGCGUGGGUAACCUGCCUUGUACAGGGGGAUAACAGUUGGAAACGGCUGCUAAUACCGCAUAAGCGCACGGCAUCGCAUGAUGCAGUGUGAAAAACUCCGGUGGUAUAAGAUGGACCCGCGUUGGAUUAGCUAGUUGGUGAGGUAACGGCCCACCAAGGCGACGAUCCAUAGCCGACCUGAGAGGGUGACCGGCCACAUUGGGACUGAGACACGGCCCAAACUCCUACGGGAGCCAGCAGUGGGGAAUAUUGCACAAUGGGCGAAAGCCUGAUGCAGCGACGCCGCGUGAGCGAAGAAGUAUUUCGGUAUGUAAAGCUCUAUCAGCAGGGAAGAUAAUGACGGUACCUGACUAAGAAGCACCGGCUAAAUACGUG